CGUUUUGACUGUCUUGUCAUGUCAUGUCAUGAUUCUGCCCAUAACGCUACGCUAAAUUGCGCUGUUCUUCCAUUAAUAUUAUUCCGAAAUCCGAAGCUCUCAUUCACUUCAUUUCUCCAUUUGGCAAACUUUAAGCUUUAAUCUCUUCCAUCUCAUCUUCCGUCUCUUUCCUUUUUGCUCUCACUUGGCCUCGUUUUCAGCUCGCAACUCUUCGCUCUGCACAGCUCAGGAAUUUGCUUGAAAAAUGGUUCAAAUUAAAGAAUUUCGAAUUGUGAUGCCCAUGUUGUUAGAAGAGUAUCACAUAGCUCAGAUGUACAUGGUCAUGAAGAUGCAGCAGCAAAAUUCAAAUGGUGAUGAAGGUGUUGAAGUCUUGGAGAACAGGCCCUUUGAAAAUGAUGUAUAUGGAAGAGGUCAAUUCACAUCUAAAAUUUAUCGCUUACAAAGGUAAUGCACUAAAAUAGUACUGAUAAUCAGUUUGUUUUUUGUAAAUUUGAAGUGUUUUCUUGAGCCGGCUGCUGAGAAUUUGAACUGUAUUGACAGGACUGUUUGUAUAUGUGUUGUUAAUUGGCUGAAUUGAUAUGUGUAUUGCAGUAUGAACAUAGUAUAAGCUAUUUGAGACUUCGUUUAUAAGGUUUUUAUAUUGAUCUUCCACGAAGUUAAAAGAGCACAUACUACUGCCUGCUGUAUCUUAAAUGAUGUAAUUUUGGGUUGCAGCAAGGUUAAUGGUUAACAUGGCAGCUCGGAGUACUUUCUGCUUUAAGGAAAUAAGAGAUGUUAUGUAUUUGUAGAUUAAAAAUUCCAAAUGCUUGUAGGACAAGAGCUGAUUGUAUGUGUCAUUUGUAAGUGAAGGGUAAUAAUUAGUUAACUUAACUAGUAUUUGAAUUAUUUGAAGUCGAAGUUAUAUUUUAAUGCAGCGAUGUUUGCAUUUCACUUUGUUGUCUUCUUAUUAUAUGCCAGUUCUUAGUCUCUGGGAGGUCAUUGAUAUGUGUUAUGAGGCUUUAUGCUUGCAAGAUUCUUGCGACUUGUGA